UUUAUUAUUUUAAUAAGAAACUUUUGCUUACAAAAACAAGGUGUGAAAAGUCAAGAUUCACAAAACUUGUAAAAACAUGAUUUAUAUUUCGCAUUUGAGAGACAAAGACAAGCCCCAAACAUGGGGGAAAAAAAGGUCAGCCUGGCCAACACAGUGAAACACCGUCUCUACUAAAAAUAUGAAAAUUAGCUGGGCAUGGCGUCAGGCGCCUGUAAUCCCAGCUAUUCAGGAGGCUGAGGCAGGAGAAUCGCUUGAACCCGGGAGGCGGAGGGUGCGGCGAGCCAAGAUUGCACCACUGCACUCCAGUCUGCUCAACAAGAGCAAAAUUCAGUCUCACCAAAAAAAAAAAAGGAAAAAAAAGUGAUCAAGGAAGGAUAUCCCUAAUGAAGUAACAUGAGCUGACACCUAAAUGAAGUGACACAUCCAGCCCAGUGCUGAUCUUCGGGAAAAGCCUUGCAGAGGGCAUAGCACAUGCAAAGUCCCUGAGGCCUGCUUGGCACUGUCUUAACGCAGUGGCUAUAUGAGGCCUUGGGAGGCCGUGGGAACUAUUUUGGAAGGGAGAACCAUCAGGAUAUGCUGCUGGAUUCGAUGAGUACUUGGAGCCGGACUAGAUGAGAACAAGUUCGAGCCUCUGAUUUUACCCAAGUCAUAACCAAAGCAACAGUGCAGAGACGGAAGGAAAGGCUGGAGGAGCAGAGGGACAGGAAGCUGCAGCAUCUGCACAGACAGCAGCUGCCGACACAGUGGCUCCCCGAGGUCAGGCCAGAAGAAAGGGAAAGGGGUGAUUCCAACUGCAGACUCAGGCAGGUCCCCUGAGUCCAUCAGGCCAAAGUGUUGCUUGAGGAUUUCUUUUUCUGGCCUCCAUGGUGUGGUUGCAUCAACACUCCCCGCAUGCCCAGGGGGCUGUGGAUAUUGAGUCGGUGCCAGUUACUAAGUACGAGAUGUGCCGGAGUUGAUGUCUCAAGGUUGAGCUUCCCCACCUCCUCUCCAGCCCCCAGGGGAAAGCAGAGGAGAAAAUAUGACCACGCAACUUCAAAUCCUCAUCAGGAAUAAAGAUAAGAAAACGAUGGGACCGGCUGGGCGCAGUGGCUCAUGCCUGUAAUCCCAGUGCUUUGGGAGGCAGAGGCGGGCAGAUCACUUGAGCCCAGGAGUUCAAGACCAGCCUGGGCAACAUGGCACAACCUCAUCUCUACUGAUGCCGAGCCGAAGCUGGACUGUAUUGCUGCCAUCUCGGUCCGGGAGGGAGGUGGGGGGUCAGCCCCCGCCCGGCCAGCUGCCCUGUCCGGGAGGCAGGUUGGGGGCGCCUCCGCCCGGCCGCCGCCCCGUCCGGGAGGCGGGGGGCGCCUCUGCCCGGCCGCCCCUUCUGGGAAGUGAGGAGCCCCUCUGCCCGGCCACCACCCCGUCUGGGAGGUGUACCCAACAGCUCAUUGAGAACGGGCCAUGAUGACGAUGGCGGUUUUGUGGAAUAGAAAAGGGGGAAAGGUGGGGAAAAGAUAGAGAAAUCAGAUUGUUGCUGUGUCUGUGUAGAAAGAAGUAGACAUGGGAGACUUCAUUUUGUUCUGUACUAAGAAAAAUUCUUCUGCCUUGGAAAAAAUAAAAAUAUAAAAAAAAAUAAAACAAUUAAUAAAAGCAGGGCCCCAAGACUCUGGGUGAGUCUUACUUCACUAAGCCUAGGGUGAAAAACUAGAAACAAACUAAAGUCCUUCAACAUGGGAACGGCAAAGUAUAGUAUAAUCCAUACUGUACAAUGCUAUGCACAUCCACUAAAAACAAUCACAUUCACCUACAAACAUCACAGUUCUCAAAGAGAUUUUUUUUUAAUAGAGAUGGGGGCUGGGUGCAGUGGUUCACCCCUGUAAUACCAGCACUUUGGGAGGCUGACGCAGGAGGAUUGCUUGAGCCCAGGAGUUCAAGACCAGCCUGGGCAACAUAGUGGGACCUUGUCUCAAUAAAAAAUAAAAAAUUAGCCAGGCGUAGUAACAUGUGCCUGUGGUCCUAGCUACUCAGGAGGCUGAGGAGGGAGGAUCACUUGAGCCCAGGAGGUGGAGGCUGUAGCGAGUUAUGAUUAUGCCACUGCACUCCAGCCUGGGUGACACAGCAAGACCCUGUCUCAAAAAAUAAAUAAAUACAUAAAUAGAGACAGGGUCUCCCUAUGUUAUCCAGAAUGGUCUCAAACUCCUGGGCUCAAGUGAUCCUCCUGUCUCAACCUCCCAAAGUGCUGGGAUUACAGGUAUGAGCCACCACGCCCAGCCUCAAAGAGACUGUUGAAGAAGAUAGAAUAAAUUGUAGAAUGACACGUACAGUUGUAGAAAAAUACAUACAAGAAAACAUUUGCGUUUAAAAUUUUCUCUGUUGACAUAUAUAAAAAUAAAUAUAUAUAUACAUAUAUAUACAUAUAUGUAUAUAUAUAUAUAUUUUUUUUUUAAGAGACGCAGUC
rnacentral:lncRNA from 10 species